GCGCGUGUAGCUCAGCUGGAUAGAGCGACAGCCUCCGGAGCUGUAGGUCACAGGUUCAAAUCCUGUCACGCGUACCA
rnacentral:tRNA from 3 species